rnacentral:lncRNA from 1 species
CGUCGCAUUUAAAAAGAAAGUUCUGGAGGGUGGGGCCACCGAGAGGAGGGGGCAGCCGAGCUGCAGCGCCAGCCCCGCGCGUGCGCACAGGGACCGCCCGGCGCCCUGGGGGACCCACGGCGCCUGGACCGAAAAGCGUGGGGCGAAGGGGCUGCCCAGGCCUGGGUCCCUCUUGAGAACCAGCAGCACUAGAGCCCGGUGUGGUGGUGCAUGCCUGUGAUUGCAGCACCAGGGAGGCUGAGGAAGGAGGAUCUCCAGGCCAGGCUGGGCUACAAAGCGAGACCCUGUCAAACAAACGAACGAACGAACGAACGAGAAAACCAAAAAACAAAGAGGUGAGCGCAGCAGGAGUCACGACCAGGGAGACUGAAGUACAGCGCACAGACGCCAGAGGGAGCCAGAGGCUUCGAGCUCAGACAGGAAACGGGCAGAUGGGAAAUUACGCUGACAAAGCCGGACAGUUUAAAAGGCAGAAUAACAGAAUGCCACAACUGUGAGGAGAGAGGAAGAAGAGGAGGAGGCGGAGGAGGAAGGAGAAGAAAGAGCCCUCAUGACUCUGAACCUGCUGGCACACUGAUCUUGGACAUCCGUGACUCCUCACCACCUUCAAACAAAAGCAGAAGACAAAGCAAAGAACGCUUCAAAGCUUCACAGCUUUACAUCUCCAAGAUAAAAGUGAAGACUAUGCUGUGAUUCAUCUAAAAGACAAAGAGAGCCAGCUUGACUUUCCUGCCACGUGGACUUCUCACUCCAUCUCUGAUGCUAAGAUCAAGUUGAUCAGAACCAGAUGACCAGGACAAGAAGCCGAGGACAGCAGAGAUGAACAGCAAGCCCAAGGGCCUGGACCAGGCCAGCAAAAAUCCAACUUCUCAUGCUCCUUCUUUUAGGAUUCUCUGAUCCUGCCCAGAGAAGCCCUGAUUCAUGGAGGCUCAACGCUGUCAUUCCACCAGCAACCUGCCAGUGGCUGGCUCUGCCAUGGCUGGUCUAUAAAUUCCUUCUCAAAGGAUAAUGAUGCAAUUAUUGUCCUUAUAACUAAUUUCUCCUCAGUACCCCCUUUCAUAGACCUCAAUACGUUACCUACUGAGUUUGUCUGUAUCCUCCUCACACCAAAUGUGUCCUGUGUUUUUUUCUUACCCUACCUAAAGAAUCACCUAUAAUGCUUUCUGUCCCUAAAUCCAAAAACCCCAUGGCUAUAAUAAAAAAAAAAUCAUAAGACUGAGUAAUAGUCAAAGCACUAACAUGUGCCUGUUAAACAUCACCACCUUAGUUCCCAGCUCCAUUAAAUUCUUACAGGAUUCUUUCUUCAAUAGGAAAGACCCACUAUCAUUUCUUGGCCUUUUGGCUAAGAUCAAGUGUAGGAAAGACCCACUAUACCCAACCCCUGUGGGUACAAUUUGGUGAGGCUCUUUUUCUUCUUUUCAG